CGGCGUGCUCAGGGGAGCAGGCAGAGUGGAGAUGUUGCAUCUCAUUAACAGCAGCUAAAGUUCUGGCUGGAGGAUGGAAAAGAGGGUGUUCUUGUGAUUGGUAUGAGAUCUCCAGGCCAAACUGUCAGACGCAAGAGGUCCAGGUAUUGGUGUACUAUAUGUCUGACUAA